AUGAUUACCGCUACACACACAUCCAUUAUCACCCAGACGCCAGGGAGGGUGAUGGUGAAGGCUGGUGAUACAGUGACCUUGAAAUGCUAUUUGGUUGAGCUAAUCACCUACUGCUACUCUGUGAUUUGGAUGAAAGUAGACCCCAGGACUGGAACACUGAUUAAGAUUGCAAACUUAAAGAUUGAUAACAACUCUGAGGAUGGAGAAGGGAAACAGGACAAAGUAUGUUCUGCUACAAUCACCAAAACAACAGUGAGCGACUCAGGAAUGUACUAUUGUUCAGCUGUUCAAUCCGAAACGAUCCACACGGGCAAUGGUUCUAGAGUUGUUGUGACAGAGAGAGAGAGAACACAGAACAUCACUGAACCCCCAGCCAUCAAACUCCUCUCUCCAUCGGACGGUGACGGGACUGUAGUGUUGACGACUCUAUACAACACAGCAGAGUCCUUCAUACCUCUGCUGUGUUUGGUGUUGAAAGUGGUCCCAUCUCAGGUCCACGUGUUCUGGCUCAUAGACGGGAGAGAGUGCAGUGGACUAACUUCGUCCAUUUGGACAGACAACAGUGAUUCAGCCACAGAGUUCACUAUGAACCAGAUUCUAGUCCAGGCAGAGGAGUGGGACAGAGGGGUUCAGUGGACGUGUGUGGUGGAGUUUGAGGGAAAUUCUAUCAACAAAACCCUGAUAAAGCGCAAUGAUUCCACUGGCAUGUGCACAAUGGUGCUGUAUUGGAUAUCUGCAGCUGCUCUCCUCACCAUUAUAGUGGCUGUCACUGUCGCUGUGUGUCGGCACCGUGGACAUCCCGUGGUUACUGAUGCUGAUACAAGACAAAGAGGCACAGGCACAGAGAGCAGGCAGCAUCAAUCUGGGAGACUUGGAGAAGCAAGAAAGGCAGUUAGAUCAUCCGUCUCGGAGGUCCAGUAUGCGACUUUGGACCACAUCCAGCUUGGGAGACGCCCAAAUACAAUUAUCCAAUAAUAUUUUGAAGAAGAAACUGCAUAAGAGUGUUCAGAUUAUUAUGUAUGUAUUUGUGUACAAAGCAAGAGCCAGUGUCCGCAAUUGCUAAGUGCCCAGAGCCAAUAGUGCGGCACAGAGCUCUUUCUUUUAUAUUGUAAUUCAACUGUUGAAAAGCCUCCCAUUAGUCAUUAAUCUGUCCCAGUGCUAAAAUGUUUUCAAAGGUCAGGUUAGAGCCCUUCCGUGGGAAAACGUGUACAAGCCUAAAUAGGAAAAUGACUGAAAUAGUCUUGAAUUUUGUAUUGAUGAUAUAUUUAUCGUGGUGUAGGCUAAUUGGCUGCUUAUAGGCCCAUGUAUUUUCCUGUGUAUUUUAUUUUAUUUCUUACCUUUAUAUAACUAGGCAAGUCAGUUAAGAACAAAUUCUUAUUUUCAAUGACGGCCUAGGAACAGUGGGUUGUUCAGGGGCAGAACGACAGAUUCUGACCUUGUCCUGGUUUUGUCCUACACAGAGGACCACAUUGGAAAUAAGUGUUCUUAGCUAUCCUGUCUCCGCCUCAGGGAUUAUUUGUAAAUGAAUGUCUUGGUUUUUCUUUGUUUUCAUUUUAUUACCUCUUAUCUAAUUUACAAUUUUCCUGGAACUGUUGGUGCCAACACUGCCUAUGUUUUUGAACACAUGUUUAAAAACUUUGCUUGAAUGCUAGAAAAAAUUGAUUCCAAUUCUCAAUCUGAAACGCACUUUGACGAACUCUGUACAGCUUGUUUCUCUGACCAAAAUGAGAAGGCUCACUGUUUUUGACACUUGUAAGUUGUUUGAUCCUGCACAGACUGCAGAUUGUGUAACAUAUGAGAAAGUGUGACAGGUGCAGGACUGCAGCCCUCAGAACAGAAGCUGACCACAUACCACAGUAGUUUAAACUUUAGCUGCCUAACGCUCUCCUGCACACACACACAAUCUGUCUCUCGCUCUCUCUGCGAGGUGUGGUAUUCUCAGUAUGAUAUGCCUAUGGACAGACACAGCUUUGUUCAAAUCUGUUCCUUGCUUUUAACAAACCACUAGCAAAUUCUAUUUGCUGGCUUUUUUCACCCAAUAGCACAUUAUGAAAGAUGAACCUUUUUACUUUUGUGAUAUGCUAUCAGCUAUCACUUAACCUAACCUCAGCAGCUUUCACGAUAUCAAUGAAACUCAGACAAUAGAUGGAAUGUACUGUUGUCAUUGUAACAGUUCAUUUUACACAACAACAUUAUUUUAAAGGGUUGGAAAAUAGUUAUGCUCCUGCUUAGUCCCGAAUGGAAAAUAAAGCACCCUGGCUAAUUCAUGAAAAUGAUGUGUUUGGAUUAAGUCAUGGUAAAAUCAAGUAAGUAAUGGCAAGACUGAACAAAAGUAUUACCAUUUAGGUAAUGAAAUGUUAAUACUCUCAAUACAAAGUACAGUAGUCAUUUUUGUUAAAUAAAAAGUUACACUGAUUUUAGUCAACUGUAAAAAAA